rnacentral:rRNA from 1 species
GUAAGGAAUAUUGGACAAUGGACGCAAGUCUGAUCCAGCCAUGCCGCGUGAAGGAUUAAGGUCCUCUGGAUUGUAAACUUCUUUUAUAAGGGACGAAAAAAGGCUUUUCUAAGUCGUCUGACGGUACCUUAUGAAUAAGCACCGGCUAACUCCGUGCCAGCAGCCGCGGUAAUACGGAGGGUGCAAGCGUUAUCCGGAUUCACUGGGUUUAAAGUGUGCGUAGGCGGGCAGGUAAGUCAGUGGUGAAAUCCUAGAGCUUAACUCUAGAACUGCCAUUGAUACUAUCUGUCUUGAAUAUUGUGGAGGUAAGCGGAAUAUGUCAUGUAGCGGUGAAAUGCUUAGAUAUGACAUAGAACACCUAUUGCGAAGGCAGCUUACUACGCAUAUAUUGACGCUGAGGCACGAAAGCGUGGGGAUCAAACAGGAUUAGAUACCCGUGUAGUCC